CCACACCGCGCCUGCCGUCCGGCUCCGCGGACCUACCUGCGCCCGCCCGCAGCCUCGACGCCGUGGCGGGCGUCCCAGGCCGGAGGGCAGCUGCCUCACCUGGCACGUAGAUCUCGCCGCGCUCCUCGUCUGGGAGCUCGCUCCAGUUCCUCUUGCACGUGGAGACGCACGGCUUCUUCACCAGGAACGCGCGGGGCAUUUUCGAACCCUCGUCGCUGGACACGGGCCGCUUCCGUAACUGAAGCCGGGAACCGUCCCACCUUUGCGGGGCCGGGCUGAACGCCGGGAACGGGGCACAGCAGGGAAGGAGUCGCUAAGGCGCCCCUACGUUCCGGGGAAGGUCCGAGCCCGGACGGCGCGCGCCGGUUCCAACUCCGCAGAGUGUCGCCGUCUUCCCUGCAAACGAGGUCCUUUGAGGCCAGGUGCACCGGGAAGCGGCAGGUGCAGCCAGGCUGGUGGAGUGCGGAGGGCUGGGGACCUCAGACCGGGAAAGGCCCAGCCGCCUUUGACCUGCUACAGCCACCGCGGAGAGCUUCCUACCCACGGCCUGCCCUGGGCUGAGGUUCAGCCUGGGACCCGCGCCCCCAGCCACUCUUCAUACUCUCCUCAGGCCCCAGGCCCAUGUGGAGGGAUGCCCCCGCUCCUCAGAGGCCUCCAUGAAGCCCACGCUCCCAUCCCAUCGUGACACUUUGGGGUUGGCUGGGCUUCCCUCACUCGCUGACCUACUUAAGGGCAGGGAUGGGGCGUUCGCGUUUGCCUCUUCCCCUGCCUUUCCAAGGGCUGUGACCUCCACUCUGAUCCCAGCCAGACCUUUGAGUUCAACUGACAUUAAGUGAACACCUGGUAUGUGCCUAUCUUUUGAGAUGAAUCCAGGAGAAACAACCUUAAACCACUCUCUGUCCAGGAGAGAGGUGCAGUUAGUUCAUUCGUUCAACAAGUAUUGAUUGAGCAGUUUUGUUGUGCCACCCCCUGAUGGUCUGGUACACAGUGGGUGCUCGGUGGAUACUAUGGUGAAGUCUUCACAAAUGUCCCUAGACACAAGGUGCAGUCUUCCCCAUCAGGGGAGCAACUCCAGUGUCCAGAAGGACAGGACACUGGGUAAAUAAAGUGAAGCCGGCCAAGGGAACCCCUCCCUGCACAAGGUGUGGUUACAGGGUGUGGAAUGGGGCCCGAGGUGGGAGGCAGUGUUGUCUACUGCUAUAUCCCCAGCUGUGCCUGGCACAAAGUGGGUUAUCAAUAAAUGUUUGUUGAAUGAAUGAA